rnacentral:rRNA from 1 species
CAGUAGCCACGGUAAUACGUAGGUCCCGAGCGUUGUCCGGAUUUACUGGGCGUAAAGCGAGCGCAGGCGGUUAGAUAAGUCUGAAGUUAAAGGCUGUGGCUUAACCAUAGUACGCUUUGGAAACUGUUUAACUUGAGUGCAAGAGGGGAGAGUGGAAUUCCAAGUGUAGCGGUGAAAUGCGUAGAUAUAUGGAGGAACACCGGUGGCGAAAGCGGCUCUCUGGCUUGUAACUGACGCUGAGGCUCGAAAGCGUGGGGAGCGAACAGGAUUAGAUACCCGGGUAGUCCCUGUCUCUUAUACA